AGGUAAAAGACGCACUGGUCAUGUCAAGGGACCUGUGCCCCGAUCCAGGCUUGUGCCUGCUAAAAUUCCAAAUGGACAGGGAUUCCUCCUGUACCACAGCUGCCCCCACCUUGUACCCUGGCUGCCAUUGGGGUGUCAAAAGCCUCCUGCUAACUGAUCUCAGGAACCUGGCAGGCUGGAAUCACCUGGAAUCCUGGCUUCUCUUGGAGUUCCAAAAGCCUCCUCCUAACUGUCUCAGCGAGACCUGGCAGG